rnacentral:rRNA from 1 species
AGUCAGCGGUAGGCCUUUCGGGGUACACGAGCGGCGAACGGGUGAGUAACACGUGGGUGAUCUGCCCUGCACUUCGGGAUAAGCCUGGGAAACUGGGUCUAAUACCGGAUAUGACCUCCGAUUGCAUGAUCAGUGGUGGAAAGAUUUAUCGGUGCAGGAUGGGCCCGCGGCCUAUCAGCUUGUUGGUGGGGUAAUGGCCUACCAAGGCGACGACGGGUAGCCGACCUGAGAGGGUGACCGGCCACACUGGGACUGAGACACGGCCCAGACUCCUACGGGAGGCAGCAGUGGGGAAUAUUGCACAAUGGGCGAAAGCCUGAUGCAGCGACGCCGCGUGAGGGAUGACGGCCUUCGGGUUGUAAACCUCUUUCAGCAGGGACGAAGCGCAAGUGACGGUACCUGCAGAAGAAGCACCGGCUAACUACGUGCCAGCAGCCGCGGUAAUACGUAGGGUGCAAGCGUUGUCCGGAAUUACUGGGCGUAAAGAGUUCGUAGGCGGUUUGUCGCGUCGUUUGUGAAAACCAGCAGCUCAACUGCUGGCUUGCAGGCGAUACGGGCAGACUUGAGUACUGCAGGGGAGACUGGAAUUCCUGGUGUAGCGGUGAAAUGCGCAGAUAUCAGGAGGAACACCGGUGGCGAAGGCGGGUCUCUGGGCAGUAACUGACGCUGAGGAACGAAAGCGUGGGUAGCGAACAGGAUUAGAUACCCUGGUAGUCCACGCCGUAAACGGUGGGCGCUAGGUGUGGGUUCCUUCCACGGAAUCCGUGCCGUAGC